GGGAUCCGUUUUUGUCAAACUCGGCCCAGGGGGCAGCAGCAUAGAUCAUUUUUUGUCGCGCAAAUAUUUGAAGUUAAUAAUAGUGACUGUUAUGUGCUUACAAAAAAAAUGGAUAAAGAAAACAAAUAUUUUACCUGGAAUGUUGAACAAUUAAAGCAAGAAUUAAAAAGACGUGGACUUCGUACCACAGGUUAAUUUUUGCGGAUGAGAAUAAAGGUUUUUUCCAAUUACAUCAACAAGAUCCUGAUGCAGUAUUCUGGACACCAGACAAUACGCAUUAUAAAGAUAUUAAUGCCGCAACUAAAAUUCCUUUAAUAACCAAGGAACGAGUAGAACUUUUUUUGCAGAGGUAUGAUGUGCUGAAAAAUCUUGGCAAAGAAAUGUACGAAAAUCGAUAUCUUCUUCAUGCCAGGAUAGCACAAAGUAAUAGCUCAAUUUUCAUUCAAGGACAUUGUUUGGCCCAAAUGAAAAAAUCAGUGCAGUAUAAAUAGUGAUAUUCAAAUGUCCAAUACUGGUUUUAUUGAAGGGACUCAUUGCGAAUGUGCUGUAGGUGGUGGUGAUACAGCUCAUUGUAAACACGUCGCAGUACUUCUUUGGGCAAUGGAAGAAAUGGGUAGAGAUAAGAAAAUUACUUUGAGAACAGUUUGUACUCAAAAACUUCAAUCAUUUCAUAAGCCGGCAAAAUCUUUUUUUGGCUCGCCCAUCAAAGCUGAAUUGUUACCAAAAAAAAAAAUCAAAAUCUUGAACCAUUUUCGGAUCCAGUCGUUUUAGAUCCAAGUAUUGUGAACAAACAAUUGUACUGCGAAAAGCAAUGCAAUCGAGCAAUAAAUUUUGCUGCAACUAACCGAACAACGAUGCCAUUCCUUCGUCUGUUCGAACCAGCUAAUAUAUAUUGUGCAAUUUAGGACCAUGACUACACAAAUGUGAAUCCAGAAGAACAGCUGUUAAAUAAAUUUAAACUACUGUCAAUAACCACUGAUGAUAUAAAAGAAAUUGAAGAAGAAACAAGAGAGCAAAGUCAAAGUAAAAGUUGGUUUAAAUAUCGUCAAAAUAGAAUCACAGCCAGUAAUUUUUAUAAAUGCUGCAUAAUUCGAGAUGAAGAAGCCCAAAUACAAUUUUCUAUUAGCUUGAUUAAUCAAGAACCGUUUAAAUCAAAGUCUACAGAUUGGGGUAAAGAAAAUGAAAGUAAAGCGCUGGAAAUUUACGAAUCCACUGGUGUUAAAAUAGAUAAAUGCGGACUAUUUAUAAGUCCAACUCACCCUUUUUUAGGAGCUUCUCCAGAUGGGCUCAUAGCA